AGAGCUCAUUAUUAGAGAAAUCUGGAUGGCACGAUAGGAGUUCAUUCAUUGGAGGAAUCUGGAGGAUACUAUGGAAGGUCGACUGCUGGAGGAGUCCGGAUGGUACUGUGGAAGCUCGGACGGUCGGGAGAGUUCAGAAAGACGUCGCACAAGGUCGGAAGCUGGAAGAGUCCUGAGAGGGUUGGCCUCUUACGAACUUUGGCUGGAGUUAUUUUAUACCCAACAAAUGCCAUGUA
rnacentral:lncRNA from 1 species